AGUGAACGCUGGCGGUAGGCCUAACACAUGCAAGUCGAACGGCAGCACAGUAAGAGCUUGCUCUUACGGGUGGCGAGUGGCGGACGGGUGAGGAAUACAUCGGAAUCUACUUUUUCGUGGGGGAUAACGUAGGGAAACUUACGCUAAUACCGCAUACGACCUACGGGUGAAAGCAGGGGAUCUUCGGACCUUGCGCGAUUGAAUGAGCCGAUGUCGGAUUAGCUAGUUGGCGGGGUAAAGGCCCACCAAGGCGGCGAUCCGUAGCUGGUCUGAGAGGAUGAUCAGCCACACUGGAAGUGAGACACGGCCCAGACUCCUACGGGAGGCAGCAGUGGGGAAUAUUGGACAAGGGGCGCAAGCCUGAUCCAGCCAUACCGCGUGAGUGAAGAAGGCCUUCGGGUUGUAAAGCCCUUUUGUUGGGAAAGAAAAGCAGCAGGUUAAUACCCUGCUGUUCUGACGGUACCCAAAGAAUAAGCACCGGCUAACUUCGUG
rnacentral:rRNA from 1 species